CUGACAUUGAGAAUGGAUGAAAGGUGGAAGCUGCCUGCAGUGAUAGCAUGACUGCUUUUCACAUGAUGCUUUUCUGGGGACUUGCAGCCUUUCAUGGAAGGUGGGGAUGGCCCCUUCCAGCCGCUCUUCACGGUGUGCUGUGUCUCAGGUUUUCUUUUUGUUCAUCUGAGACACAGAACAUCUCUUGAUGAAGGUCACAGCUUUGAUCCCCGUGGCUCGCUCUUGUGUUUAUAGCCAUUAUUAGUAACAUCAGCUCAUGCACGCACUUCUCCCUGCCUGCCCUUGUCUGGCUGCAAGGGAGCAGGGGCAGGAUAACAAAAGAAAGUAUAAAUAGUCUUUUUAAAAGCCUGUUAAAUAGAAAUAGACUUUUUAGGGAGGAGUUAGAAAGAAUGAGGCAUGUUACCAUAGUAACUGCCAAUGGUUUAUUUAAGAAGGGCAAAGAAACAAACACCACAAAAAGGCGAAGUCGAGAGGAAUAGAAGAUUGCUGGAGGAAUCUGUCGGGACACAGACAACACAGGGCCAGUGAUUGUUGCCAUGUUCACCUACCACCCGCGCUGCGUUCACAUCCCUGAUGUCCAUGCCACCCAAUAGGGCCUACUGCUGUGAUGCUCUGCGAUGGAUGAGCACCUGGGAAAGAGCUGUUGUCUGAAUCCCUUCCUUCUGCCAGGGCUGAGCUCCAGGUUGGAAAAUGAGUAUUGCAAAAGGAAAAGAAGAGGGAAAAGAAUCAUAGAAUCAUUAAGGUUGGAAAAGACCACUAAGAUCAUCUAGUCCAGCUGUCCACCUACCACCAAUACUUCCCGCUAAAUCAUGUCCCUCAGUGCCGUAUCUCCACAUUUCUUGAACACCUCCUGGGACGACGACUCCACCACCUCUCUGGGCAGCUGGUUCCAAUGCAUUACCACUCAUUACCACUCUUUCUGAGAAGAAAUUUUUCCUAAAACCCAACCUGAAUCUCCCCUGGUGCAACUUAAGGCUAUUCCCUCUCGUCCUAUCAAAGAAGUUGGAAAAGAAAAGGAAAAAAGAAAACAGAAAGGAAAAAAAGUGUAAAAAGUAAAAGCAAAAGAAAGGAAAGAAGAAAAGGAAAAAGAUUCAGUUAACAACUCUUUUCUCCAGUCUCUCUGUUGAAACUUGCAGUUUUCUGCACUUGUGAAGGAGGAGGUAGAAGGAUGGAGAUAGCACAAUGAUGACAACACAGGGCAGCAAAAGAGG
rnacentral:lncRNA from 1 species